AUGACAAGCGGCAAGUAUCGGAGAGGAGCCACCUGCGAUCUCACCCUGGACUCCUGGGAGUGGAGCAUGGCCGGGGGUCUUUGCCUGCGAAUAGCGUAUCCAUUUGAGUGGGGCAUUACCACCGUUCCUGAAGAAACGUUGAAGCUCCUUCUUUAUAAAGCAAUGAAAGACAAAGCAACAGAAGGACGGAGUAAGAAAGCACAGAUUCAACGACUGACAGAGCAAGCGGCUAGCACGGACUUAACUCCCCCUUUCCUUAAGAGAGGUCCUCGCAGACUCAGAGUAAGCAUUACGCCCGCGCACUCCUUAGCCCGUGUGUCUCUGGCACCUCCGAGCGCUUUAGCUCAGCUACAGAGCUUCUUAAUGUAACGGGCUUAACAUUUUUCCUUUGGGCUUCUUUGUCCAUAGUUCUCCUGUUUGUAUGCUGGAGUGUUCCUUCACUGAAGCGUCUUUGUACCCCACAGUUGGGCACCAAAAUGUCAGGGUACCAGCCCAGACACAACCUAGGAAGUAACAGGGUCGGCAGAGACAAAGAAAUUAAGAGACAAAAGUAAGUGCAUCAAGGUGGGCUCCCAGGGGCCCUAGAUGAAUAGGAGGAUGCGAAGGCUCCCAGCACUGGAGGCCCACACUGUUCACUGAGUGUUUAAACAAAGAAGCAUGUGCUCACGGAUGUGUAGGGGGUGGAAAAGAAGCAAAGCGUCAAGCAGAUAAUCUAGAGCUUUGGCGACUUGGCAUUUCCUGUGGAGGUACAGAGCCUGCUCUACUCUGAAACAAUCAGUAAACAGAUAGGGAAAGGCUGCAGCUAGAGCCAGCCAGCCUGGUCACAUUCUGGUGCUUCCAGGGGGUCUUCCUAGCUUUGAGCACGGAGCACGGUGCCGGAUAAGCAGGCCAUGCAUCAGCCCUUCUCUCAACAAAGCAUGUGUUCUGCUUACUGUGUACCAGGCACUGUUCUAAGUUCUUUUCCCGAGCGUGGGAAGGGGAAAUGAGAUAGCCCCUUUAAUCUCUUGUCAUUUCUUUCUUUUCUUUUCUUUUGAGAUGGAGUUUCGCUCUUGUUACCCAGGCUGGAGUGCAAUGGCGCGAUCUCGGCUCACCACAACCUCCGCCUCCUGGGUUCAGGCAAUUCUCCUGCCUCAGCCUCCCGAGUAGCUGGGAUUACAGGCACGCGCCACCAUGCCCAGCUAAUUUUUUUGUAUUUUUAGUAGAGACGGGGUUUCACCAUGUUGACCAGGAUGGUCUCGAUCUCUUGACCUCGAGAUCCACCUGCCUCGGCCUCCCAAAGUGCUGGGAUUACAGGCGUGAGCCACUGCGCCCGGCCCGUCAUUUCUUAAACACUUUUUAAUCCCCUAGUCUUACAGUGCAGAAGCGAGUUAAAUGAAGGACAUGAGAAUAGUCUUCUUUAUUUAUUGCUCCCUUUUAUUUCCCGUGAACUCUCAUAUACUCUAACAAGAGUGUGUUUCCUUCACUCUUCAGCCUGAGCAUGUUCAGCUUUUCUUGGGAGAGGGUGGGGGGUACAAUAUUUCACUAAUCUAACACCUUUGGUCUUAUUUAUAUAACAUGACGAUACAAUUUUCAGAUGUAUUAGGUUUCAAUAUGUUUUGUAUUUAAUAUAAGAAAACUCUCCUGAAAGAAAAGAGUGUGGCAAAGCUUGAGAAGUUGCUGGGAUUCAUGUAGCUAAUCAAAAUGGACCUAAGGUUUGAGCUCAGAUUGCCAGACUCCAGUUCAGUUAAUCCAGAGGUCCUUUGUUAGCGGAAACAAACCUGGAUUUGAAAUCCGGGAGAGGAACGUAAGGUCAUUGAGAAAUUGGAAGAUAGUCUAGUAUGUUUUCUGAUAUGUUUAAGUCUGUCAAAAGAAUAUUAUUAAUAACGUCCCCAGGGAGUGCUGGUGAGUCUUUUGACUAUAGAAUUGAAAUGAAUGUUUAAAAGUAAUUUUAAAAAUAAAAAAAGGAUUAGAAAUGAUAUUACCUACAUUUUGACUUCAAAAUCUAUUUCAGUCUACCCUGUCCGUGAAGGUUCUUUUCUUAAACGUUUUUUGGUGGUAGAAGAUGGUUAGAAACACUGCAGGAAUUGUGGGAAAAACAGGGCGAGGCCCAAGUCAUGAGUAGACUUAUGAAAACUGUUAGGACGGUUUUAUGUCAACUAAAUUAAUGAGGACAGAAGUCUAAUUAAAGAGAAAUAACAAUAUUGCUUCACGCGCCCUAAUUUCCUGAACAAUAGGUUCAGGCACAAGUCCUCCCAUUCUUGAUUUCCUGCCUGCUGGAAGUUUUUUGGCUUUCAAUAAGACGUUUAUAAAUUCAUGUACCUUUGCUGAAAAUAAUCUGCAGCUUCGGUGUUUUUAAAGUAUAGUCUAUCCUUCUGCUUAAUUAUUCAAAGUCACAGACACAGAUCAUUUUUUGAUGUUUGAGACGGGAAAAGCUUUGAAUGUCAUUUAUGUCCAUCUCCUUGUUAUAGAUGAGUAGUUAAUCAUCAAAUUCUUUUGUAAAGAUAAAAACCCUAAAAUGCAUGAAGCAUGUACUCUACUCACUGUGUACCAGGCACUGUUCUAAGUUCUUUACCUGUGUUAACCCAUUUCAUCUUCAGAGAAACCACUGAAGAUAAAUGCAAUUAUCGUCCCAUUUUUCAGACAGGGAAACGGGCACAAAAAGAUUAAGUGGCUCAUGUGAGGUCACACACCAGAAAGGAGCCAGACCCAGGAUUCUGCUUUCUGGAACUGUGUCUUAAGUGUUGCUCACAUGUUACGUGUAGGCCUCUCUGUGUGUAGGUUAUGCUGUCUCAGAGCUGCCUGAGUCCAGGCUUCAUAUUCCCUACUCCCCUGACAAAACAGGAGGGUCAUCAAGUUCAACUUUACUGUCUGUUGGCUUUUUAUGCUUCUGUUAAAGUUUCAUUGCAGAAAUUCUGCUUUGGUUCUCUGCUCUGUGUCUGAUUCCUAGUUAUUAUCUGUCUGUUUCUCUUGCAGAGUUGACUCUCAGAUCUUAUAUACUGUGUAUGGAAUGACAUUUCAAGAAAAGUCUUAGAAAUGAAACCUUUUUACUGAAAAAUUUGUUAAAAGAAAUAUUCAACAUAAAACAAAACAAACAAACAAACAAAUACUCAACAUUGAGGAGGGUUACUGCAUCCCUAAUAUUUUCUCAGUCAGACCUAAUUUAAGGAGCCCUCUUAAUUUUUAAAUAAAUAGAAAUGACUGUAUUUUCAGACUACAAAGUAACAUAAUUGUAUUGUAAAAAUGCAGGACAUGCAUGAAGAUAAAGAAGAUCAUUAAAAGCACCGCAUAUUUCGACCCCACAGUGAUAUCCACCGUUAGCAUCUGCUGAUGGAGCCACAUCACGAGGUACUAACCGUGACUGAUGAGACGGGAUCCUUGAAUAAACACUUCCAGCAAUAGGGAAACUCCAUCACGGGCAGCACACACUCCAUUCCAACAGCUUCAGUUGUUAGAAUGCUCCUUUUGGAAGAUGGAUAGACUUGACAUGCUUGUAUCCAUUCUUUCCUUCGACAUCUUGGCAGAGCUGCUAAUCUAUCACGGUGCUUUCUAUCGAGCUUCUAGGCAGCCACAGCCGCACUCAUCUUAUCAAACAGCCUGUCACACUGAAGUGCCCUCUUCCAAGCAUGCUAAUUUUUUGUCUUUUUAAUUUUGUUUUGCUUAACACCAGAGCCAUCACACUUGAAAACAUGCUCUCUACGUUUUUUUGUGUGUGCAAUAUGGAUAGGCUGAGAAUUUUCCCAUCUGCAAUUUCUAGUUCUUUUUUGCAUAAAAAUUUCAUCUUCAAUUCAUUUUUUUCCUUACAUGUUACGAUAAGCAGCCAGGAGGACUAAAGCCACUCCUUCAACACUUGGCUUCAAAUUCUCUCCAGCAACAUACAUUAUAAAUAUAUGCAAUUUUAUCGGUCAAUUCAAAGAUAAUAUAAAAAAUAAAUUUCUUUAAAUAUUUAAUUUCAUUGCUUGCAAAUUCUACCUUUCACAAAACACUAGAUCGUAAACACAAUUUUGCCAAAUUCUUUGCCAUUUUAUAACAAGGAUUGCUGUUUCUUCCUUGUCCAAUAAUAUGUUCUUUAUUUCUAUCUGAGACCUCCUCAGAAUGGCCUUUGCAGUCCAUAUUUCUUUCAGCAUUCUACUCAUGAUUAUUUGUGUGUUCUCUAAGAUGGAAGUCUUCUGCCACGUGAGGACACAGUAAGAGCGCGUCACUUACAAACCGGGAAGACAGCCCAUAGCGGAGUCUUGAUCUUAGAUUUGCCAGUCCCCAGAAUUGUAAGAAAUAAAUGCUUGUUUUUAAUCCACCAGUCUGUGGUGUUCUGUUACAGCAGCCCAGACUGAUGAAGGCAACUCUCUUUUCUUGUUUGCCGUCAUCCCUAAAACUAGAGCAUAUUUUUCCCGAAUUUAUGACG
ensembl:lncRNA